GGCCCGUUCGUCUAGCGGUUAGGACGCCGCCCUCUCAAGGCGGUAACAGGGGUUCGAUUCCCCUACGGGCU
rnacentral:tRNA from 1 species